AGCGAACGCUGGCGGCAGGCUUAACACAUGCAAGUCGAGCGGGCACUUUCGGGUGUCAGCGGCGGACGGGUGAGUAACGCGUGGGAACGUGCCCUCUGGUUCGGAAUAACUCAGGGAAACUUGAGCUAAUACCGGAUACGCCCUUUUGGGGAAAGGCUUGCUGCCGGAGGAUCGGCCCGCGUCUGAUUAGCUAGUUGGUGAGGUAACGGCUCACCAAGGCGACGAUCAGUAGCUGGUCUGAGAGGAUGAUCCGCCACACUGGGACUGAGACACGGCCCAGAAUCCUACGGAAGGCAGCAGUGGGGAAUAUUGGAGGAUGGGCGCAAGCCUGAUAAAGCCAUGCCGCGUGAGUGAUGAAGGCCUUAGGGUUGUAAAGCUCUUUUAUCCGGGACGAUAAUGACGGUACCGGAGGAAUAAGCCCCGGCUAACUUCGUG
rnacentral:rRNA from 1 species